rnacentral:rRNA from 1 species
AAUGAACGUUGGCGGCGUGGAUUAGGCAUGCAAGUCGCGCGGGUAGCAAUACCAGCGGCGAAAGGGACAGUAAUGUGUAGGUCAUCUGCCCUCGGGACGGGAAUAGCCACGGGAAACUGUGGGUAAUGCCCGAUAACAUCUUCGGAUCAAAGGUGUGAGUCCGCCCGGGGAUGAGCCUACAUCCUAUUAGCUAGUUGGCGGGGUAACGGCCCACCAAGGCAUCGAUGGGUAGCGGGUGUGAGAGCACGACCCGCGUCAUUGGGACUGAGACACUGCCCAGACACCUACGGGAGGCAG